CCUGCCUUUGCGAUAAUCCAUUCACUCCAUUCUUACUGUGUCAUGAUUUCUGAACCAGGUUUCGCCAUGCCUCCUAUGGACCUUCCAUCCAAGAUCAUCUUGGAUGUUAUGUUUGAGAAAGUUGGCCAUCCAUCGGCUGCCUACUCUGCACGUGUCAUUCAUCACGGCUGCCUUGAAGUCACGGUUGAUUUCCAUCCAAUUGCCAGUGAACUGGAGCGUCCUGUUAGUCAGACCUACAUUUCAACCUCCGCUUUUAUUGAUCUGGAAGAAGCACAGAAUCAUGUUGCGCAUAAAGCCAUGGAAUUCAUGGAGCAGGAACACAAUGUGGUCCCAUCUGAUUAUAACUAUGCUAAGCUUCAGUCUGCUAGGCUUAACAACGAGGCUCUGCGUCAACGCCUGAAAGAAAGAGAUCAAAGUAUUGAAGCACUCAAAAAGGUUAAUACAUCUCUUGUGCAGCAGCUAGCCGAGAAGAGCAGCACUCUUGAGUCUACCAUGAAGAAAAACAGAGAUCUAAUGGAGAAGCUUGCUGAAAAGGAUAGUGUCAUUGAAGCCCUCAACAAGGACAAUAAAACUCUGCACAAGGAGCUUGAUGAAAAAAUGGAGAUCAUAAAAAGCCUCAGCAAAGGAUGGGACAACUCACUGGAUACUGGGUUUUCAGCGACCACCCAGCUUCAGCGUCUGAUUGAUGAGACCAUGUCCCCUGGCUCAACAGACGCAGAAAUUGAGCUAAAUGCAACUCUCCUUAGUGCUCAGAAGAUCUACGAGUAUCUUGAGCAGAACACAAUCCUUGCUGUUGAGUACCUGCAAUCCAUUGGGACAUAUCCAUAUGAACCAAAGUCAGGUUGUACUGAUGAUGAGGAU
rnacentral:rRNA from 1 species